rnacentral:rRNA from 1 species
AGUGAACGCUGGCGGUAGGCCUAACACAUGCAAGUCGAACGGCAGCACAGUAAGAGCUUGCUCUUACGGGUGGCGAGUAGCGGACGGGUGAGGAAUACAUCGGAAUCUACUUUUUCGUGGGGGAUAACGUAGGGAAACUUACGCUAAUACCGCAUACGACCUACGGGUGAAAGCAGGGGAUCUUCGGACCUUGCGCGAUUGAAUGAGCCGAUGUCGGAUUAGCUAGUUGGCGGGGUAAAGGCCCACCAAGGCGACGAUCCGUAGCUGGUCUGAGAGGAUGAUCAGCCACACUGGAACUGAGACACGGCCCAGACUCCUACGGGAGGCAGCAGUGGGGAAUAUUGGACAAUGGGCGCAAGCCUGAUCCAGCCAUACCGCGUGGGUGAAGAAGGCCUUCGGGUUGUAAAGCCCUUUUGUUGGGAAAGAAAAGCAGCAGGUUAAUACCCCGCUGUUCUGACGGUACCCAAAGAAUAAGCACCGGCUAACUUCGUG